AUCCGUCUGACGAGUCCCAAAUAGGACGAAAUGCACAUCCUGGAU
rnacentral:hammerhead_ribozyme from 1 species